GAUGAACGCUGGCGGCGUGCCUAAUACAUGCAAGUCGAGCGAACAGAUAAGGAGCUUGCUCCUUUGACGUUAGCGGCGGACGGGUGAGUAACACGUGGGUAACCUACCUAUAAGACUGGGAUAACUUCGGGAAACCGGAGCUAAUACCGGAUAAUAUUUCGAACCGCACGGUUCGAUAGUGAAAGAUGGUUUUGCUAUCACUUAUAGAUGGACCCGCGCCGUAUUAGCUAGUUGGUAAGGUAACGGCUUACCAAGGCGACGAUACGUAGCCGACCUGAGAGGGUGAUCGGCCACACUGGAACUGAGACACGGUCCAGACUCCUACGGGAGGCAGCAGUAGGGAAUCUUCCGCAAUGGGCGAAAGCCUGACGGAGCAACGCCGCGUGAGUGAUGAAGGUCUUCGGAUCGUAAAACUCUGUUAUUAGGGAAGAACAUACGUGUAAGUAACUGUGCACGUCUUGACGGUACCUAAUCAGAAAGCCACGGCUAACUACGUG
rnacentral:rRNA from 1 species